rnacentral:lncRNA from 1 species
GACUGAGAAUUAUGAAACUACAUAUGCCUGAGAAACUUCCAGGAAUAUUUAUAUUAUCAUUUUUGGGAAAGGAGCUGGAAAAUCAUUUGAUAUAUUUAUUUUACAAGUUCUACACCAGAUGCCCAAGUAAAACCUACCUGAUUUCAGGAAGUGAUUGAUUUACAGAUUCUUAGUACAACAAGCAAAGCAUUUCAUUCUAUUAGCUGUUCUCCAUGCCUUUCCUUUUUCAUCAAGGUAAUAACCGUUUUACUCCACACCACCAAGACUGCCAUCACUGCUGGAUAUGAGAAACCCUAAGAUUAUGAUAAUAACCUUCAAGAAUGAUAGCUUAGGCACUAGGCCGAUGGUUCUCAACCUUACUAAGCUGCUACUCUUUAACAGUUUCUCAUAUUACAGUAACCCUCAAACAUAAAAGUAAUACUGUUGCGCCAUUAUAGCUGCCAUUUUGCAGCUGUCAUGAAUUGUAAUGUAAAUUCUUUUUGAGGUAAAGGUUUGCCAUAGGGGUUGUGACCCACAGGUUGAGAACCCCUGCACUGGAGAUGGCUCAGUGAGGAAAAGUGCUUGCUGCACUAGGAUGAGUACCUGAAUUCAAAUCCUAGCAUCCCUGUUAAAGGAUGGGUGUGGCCCCACACACAGAAGUAAGGGAGUCUCUGGGCUUCACUUGCUAACAGACAGGUUUAAGAAGAGACUGCCUCAAAGGAUUAAAGCCAAAAGUGUUAAAACAGGGCACUCAACAUUCUCUAAUGUGGAGCUCUACAUACAACUGACCUAUGCAUUUGUGUGUAUGUGUAGGGGAACUGGCACACUUGUGCACAUGCAUGCACACAUACAGUAAAUAU